rnacentral:antisense_RNA from 1 species
CUCAAACUGGGCCUGGAGGGCCUUCAGCUCCUCAGUCGUGGCACUGAUGGUGGCCUGCGGGGAGAAGGGAGCCCACAGUGGCACCAGGGAGCUGGGCCCAGCAGUGGAGGGUGAGGCUGCUGGGAUGAGGAGACGUCCACGGCCCCUGCCGGCUGUGAUGUCGCCCUCUCCCACUGCGCAGUGCCCUGGGGAUGGGGCGUAAGCCCUCCACCCCAGCUCCGAGUCACCGAGCAUCCCCCAAGGCCCUGUUGCCUGGACGCCCCGGCCCCCCAGCAGGCGGCCUGCACAUGCCUCUGUGCAGUCAGUGAGAAGGGCUCCCGUUCAGAAUGGGCAGAGAAGGGGCCUGUCUCCUGCACCUGGCACCAUGGCCUGUGUUCUGUUCACUGCACACUGAACCGUACAUUCAAUGCCAGUCAGGACUCAAUGUGGGUGUCCUUUCCUGCCGAAAGUUUCCUCGGGUGCAGGGCCAGCCGCCUUGGGUUCAGUUUCUCCUUUGGAAGGAUCUCUCUGGCCCAUCUGGGGGAGGGCAGCCCAGAGACAUGCGUGCACCUGUGUGGGCUGACCUAUGCGCAGUGUCACCAAUGUCUGUGACAUUGUUGUAACGACAACAAAGCUGGAGGCCACCCAGACGCCCAUGGAAGGAAGAACGGCGCAGAAAGACCCAGUCCUGGCAGCUCAGCAUGCAGCCCAGAAACAGAAGAACAAAGCUGCAGAUACACAGCUGGGAAAGGCCACCGAGAUGCUUUGAUAAUUGAGAAGAGGAAAGCCCAGGAGCCGGCAUGGAUUUUUCAUUCCUUUUGU